rnacentral:rRNA from 1 species
CCGACGGUGAGGGGCGAAAGCUGGGGGCACGAACCGGAUUAGAUACCCGGGUAGUCCCAGCCGUAAACGAUGCUCGCUAGGUGUCUGGGAUGGUGCGACCGUUUCGGGUGCCGCAGGGAAGCCGUGAAGCGAGCCACCUGGGAAGUACGGCCGCAAGGCUGAAACUUAAAGGAAUUGGCGGGGGAGCACUACAACGGGUGGAGCCUACGGUUUAAUUGGACUCAACGCCGGAAAACUCACCUGGGGC